rnacentral:rRNA from 2 species
GGUUAAGUGACUAAGCGUACACGGUGGAUGCCUAGGCAGUCAGAGGCGAUGAAGGGCGUGCUAAUCUGCGAAAAGCGUCGGUAAGGUGAUAUGAACCGUUACAACCGGCGAUACCCGAAUGGGGAAACCCAGUGUGUUUCGACACACUAUCAUGUCAUGAAUACAUAGUGGCAUGAGGCGAACCGGGGGAACUGAAACAUCUAAGUACCCCGAGGAAAAGAAAUCAACCGAGAUUCCCCCAGUAGCGGCGAGCGAACGGGGAGGAGCCCAGAACCUGAAUCGGCUUGUGUGUUAGUGGAAGCGUCUGGAAAGUCGCGCAGUAAAGGGUGAUAGCCCCGUACACUAAAAUGCACAGGUCGUGAGUUCGAUGAGUAGGGCGGGACACGUGACAUCCUGUCUGAAUAUGGGGGGACCAUCCUCCAAGGCUAAAUACUCCUGACUGACCGAUAGUGAACCAGUACCGUGAGGGAAAGGCGAAAAGAACCCCGGCGAGGGGAGUGAAAUAGAACCUGAAACCGUGUACGUACAAGCAGUGGGAGCACCUUCGUGGUGUGACUGCGUACCUUUUGUAUAAUGGGUCAGCGACUUAUAUUUUGUAGCAAGGUUAACCGUAUAGGGGAGCCGUAGGGAAACCGAGUCUUAACUGGGCGAAUAGUUGCAAGGUAUAGACCCGAAACCCGGUGAUCUAGCCAUGGGCAGGUUGAAGGUUGGGUAACACUAACUGGAGGACCGAACCGACUAAUGUUGAAAAAUUAGCGGAUGACUUGUGGCUGGGGGUGAAAGGCCAAUCAAACCGGGAGAUAGCUGGUUCUCCCCGAAAGCUAUUUAGGUAGCGCCUCGUGAACUCAUCUUCGGGGGUAGAGCACUGUUUCGGCUAGGGGGCCAUCCCGGCUUACCAAACCGAUGCAAACUCCGAAUACCGAAGAAUGUUAUCACGGGAGACACACGGCGGGUGCUAACGUCCGUCGUGAAGAGGGAAACAACCCAGACCGCCAGCUAAGGUCCCAAAGUCAUGGUUAAGUGGGAAACGAUGUGGGAAGGCAUAGACAGCCAGGAUGUUGGCUUAGAAGCAGCCAUCAUUUAAAGAAAGCGUAAUAGCUCACUGGUCGAGUCGGCCUGCGCGGAAGAUGUAACGGGGCUAAACCAUGCACCGAAGCUGCGGCAGCGACGCUUAGGCGUUGUUGGGUAGGGGAGCGUUCUGUAAGCCGUUGAAGGUGGCCUGUGAGGGUUGCUGGAGGUAUCAGAAGUGCGAAUGCUGACAUAAGUAACGAUAAAGCGGGUGAAAAGCCCGCUCGCCGGAAGACCAAGGGUUCCUGUCCAACGUUAAUCGGGGCAGGGUGAGUCGACCCCUAAGGCGAGGCUGAAAAGCGUAGUCGAUGGGAAACAGGUUAAUAUUCCUGUACUUGGUGUUACUGCGAAGGGGGGACGGAGAAGGCUAGGCUAGCCGGGCGACGGUUGUCCCGGUUUAAGCGUGUAGGGGGUGUGACCUGGUAAAUCCGGUUGCAUAUCAACCCUGAGGCGUGAUGACGAUGCACUACGGUGCAGAAGUAGUUGAUGCCCUGCUUCCAGGAAAAGCCUCUAAGCUCCAGGUAACAUUGAAUCGUACCCCAAACCGACACAGGUGGUCAGGUAGAGAAUACCAAGGCGCUUGAGAGAACUCGGGUGAAGGAACUAGGCAAAAUGGUGCCGUAACUUCGGGAGAAGGCACGCUGGCAUGUAGGUGAAGUCCCUUGCGGAUGGAGCUGAAGCCAGUCGAAGAUACCAGCUGGCUGCAACUGUUUAAUAAAAACACAGCACUGUGCAAACACGAAAGUGGACGUAUACGGUGUGACGCCUGCCCGGUGCUGGAAGGUUAAUUGAUGGGGUCAGCCGCAAGGCGAAGCUCUUGAUCGAAGCCCCAGUAAACGGCGGCCGUAACUAUAACGGUCCUAAGGUAGCGAAAUUCCUUGUCGGGUAAGUUCCGACCUGCACGAAUGGCGUAAUGAUGGCCAGGCUGUCUCCACCCGAGACUCAGUGAAAUUGAACUCGCUGUGAAGAUGCAGUGUACCCGCGGCAAGACGGAAAGACCCCGUGAACCUUUACUAUAGCUUGACACUGAACAUUGAGCCUUGAUGUGUAGGAUAGGUGGGAGGCUUUGAAGCGUGGACGCCAGUCUGCGUGGAGCCAUCCUUGAAAUACCACCCUUUAAUGUUUGAUGUUCUAACUCGGCCCCAUAAUCUGGGGUGAGGACAGUGUCUGGUGGGUAGUUUGACUGGGGCGGUCUCCUCCCAAAGAGUAACGGAGGAGCACGAAGGUUAGCUAAUCACGGUCGGACAUCGUGAGGUUAGUGCAAAGGCAUAAGCUAGCUUGACUGCGAGAGUGACGGCUCGAGCAGGUACGAAAGUAGGUCUUAGUGAUCCGGUGGUUCUGAAUGGAAGGGCCAUCGCUCAACGGAUAAAAGGUACUCCGGGGAUAACAGGCUGAUACCGCCCAAGAGUUCAUAUCGACGGCGGUGUUUGGCACCUCGAUGUCGGCUCAUCACAUCCUGGGGCUGAAGUAGGUCCCAAGGGUAUGGCUGUUCGCCAUUUAAAGUGGUACGCGAGCUGGGUUUAGAACGUCGUGAGACAGUUCGGUCCCUAUCUGCCGUGGGCGUUGGAAGAUUGAGAGGGGUUGCUCCUAGUACGAGAGGACCGGAGUGAACGCACCACUGGUGUUCGGGUUGUCAUGCCAAUGGCAUUGCCCGGUAGCUAAGUGCGGAAAAGAUAAGCGCUGAAAGCAUCUAAGCGCGAAACUUGCCUCAAGAUGAGUCUUCCCUGGGCCUUUAAGGUCCCUGAAGGAACGUUUAAGACUAAGACGUUGAUAGGCUGGGUGUGUAAGUGCAGCGAUGCAUUGAGCUAACCAGUACUAAUGAUCCGUGAGGCUUAACCUU